rnacentral:lncRNA from 1 species
GCUAAAUGACUUAUCUAGUGUUGUUUGGGGUUAGUAUAUGUUAGAAUACAAUAAAUUUGAUUGAUUACUAGUGCUAGAUAUGCAUGAAGAGUGUUUAGAAGUGUGGAGAAAGACUUGUUCAAAUUGGGUCCCAAAGGGGCUAAGAACUCGGAAACAUUGCGUUGAACCACUACAUGACUUAUAUAGGGUUGUUUGGGGUUAGAAUAUGUUAGAAUGCAAUGAAUUUGAUUGAUUACAAGUGCUUGAGAUGCAUGAAGAGUGUUUAGAAGUGUGUAGAAAGACUUGUUG